UACGUAGGGGGCAAGCGUUAUCCGGAAUACUGGGCGUAAAGCGCACGCAGGCGGUUUUCUACGUUCAUGGUGACAGUCUCCGGCUUAACCGGGGAAGCGUUUUGAAAACGGGAAAACUUGAGAACGAGAGAGGGAGACGGAACUCCGAGUGGAGCAGUGAAAUGCGUAGAGAUUCGGAAGAACACCAAAGGCGAAGGCAGUCUCCUGGCUCGUUUCUGACGCUCAGGUGCGAAAGCGAGGGGAGCAAACGGG
rnacentral:rRNA from 1 species